rnacentral:lncRNA from 1 species
UUUAUUUCAUCUAAGCAUCGAAGAGAGCAAAAUAGCUUCGAGGAGAGCAAAUAUUUCAUCUCUUUGAGGCCUCAGGAAGAGAUGGAGGCGCAUAGGCUCAAAAUUGAGGAGCAUCAGGCGAUCAGCAGGAACUAGCAAAAGGGCCCAUGCGUUGCAACGGGAGAAAGAAAUACCACACGCUCUUAAUUUAUAAAAAAUGGUCUAUAAUCUAAGAAUUUGUAGUUACGACACAAAUAAAGAU